UACGUAGGGUGCAAGCGUUGUCCGGAAUUAUUGGGCGUAAAGAGCUCGUAGGCGGUCUGUCGCGUCGGAUGUGAAAACUCGGGGCUCAACCCCGAGCCUGCAUUCGAUACGGGCAGACUUGAGUUCGGCAGGGGAGACUGGAAUUCCUGGUGUAGCGGUGAAAUGCGCAGAUAUCAGGAGGAACACCGGUGGCGAAGGCGGGUCUCUGGGCCGAUACUGACGCUGAGGAGCGAAAGCGUGGGGAGCGAACAGG
rnacentral:rRNA from 1 species